UACGUAGGGACCAAGCGUUGUUCGGAUUUACUGGGCGUAAAGGGUGCGUAGGCGGCGCGGUAAGUCGGGUGUGAAAUCUCGGAGCUUAACUCCGAAACUGCAUUCGAUACUGCCGUGCUUGAGGACUGGAGAGGAGACUGGAAUUUACGGUGUAGCGGUGAAAUGCGUAGAUAUCCGGAGGAACACCGGUGGCGAAGGCGGCUUCCUGGACCGACACUGACGCUGAGGCGCGAAAGCUAGGGGAGCAAACGGG
rnacentral:rRNA from 1 species